rnacentral:rRNA from 1 species
CAGGCCUAACACAUGCAAGUCGAACGGCAGCACGGACUUCGGUCUGGUGGCGAGUGGCGAACGGGUGAGUAAUGUAUCGGAACGUGCCCAGUAGCGGGAGAUAACUACGCGAAAGCGUAGCUAAUACCGCAUACGCCCUACGGGGGGAAAGCAGGGGAUCGUAAGACCUUGCACUAUUGGAGCGGCCGAUAUCGGAUUAGCUAGUUGGUGGGGUAACGGCUCACCAAGGCGACGAUCCGUAGCUGGUUUGAGAGGACGACCAGCCACACUGGGACUGAGACACGGCCCAGACUCCUACGGGAGGCAGCAGUGGGGAAUUUUGGACAAUGGGGGAAACCCUGAUCCAGCCAUCCCGCGUGUGCGAUGAAGGCCUUCGGGUUGUAAAGCACUUUUGGCAGGAAAGAAACGUCAUGGGUUAAUACCCCGUGAAACUGACGGUACCUGCAGAAUAAGCACCGGCUAACUACGUGCCAGCAGCCGCGGUAAUACGUAGGGUGCAAGCGUUAAUCGGAAUUACUGGGCGUAAAGCGUGCGCGGGCGGUUCGGAAAGAAAGAUGUGAAAUCCCAGAGCUUAACUUUGGAACUGCAUUUUUAACUACCGGGCUAGAGUGUGUCAGAGGGAGGUGGAAUUCCGCGUGUAGCAGUGAAA